rnacentral:misc_RNA from 1 species
GUGCAUGCUUACACACCAAAUUUAAGAACAACAGUGCUUUUAUACUUGAUUUAUGCUCCUUCUGAUGCUUUUAGGUUUUGAUUUUAUACUUGUAAGUUUGGUUAGUUAGAUGUAUGAAAGAGAUAAUGGUAUGUUAUGUGAACAUCAAUGCUGAAAUUUUGUUUGUGGCCUACAACCUCACUGUUGGUUGUUGGUUCUCUAUACAACCCAUAAGCAAUGCUUAGGCUUAGGUCAAGGAUAUCGGGAUGAAAGAUGUGAAAGUAAAAAAGAAAAAAAGAAAGCAAAAGGGUUCAACUUGAUUCGUGUCUGAUAGUUAAAGUGUAGAAAUAAGUUGAGAGACUGAAUUUGGACUCAAUCUAGCAAGA